ensembl:lncRNA
AUGAUCAAAGAGCUGCUGCUAAUCCCGGCUUUGUCCCAUCUCCCCCCAAGCCCUUGCUGCACAGGGACCAGGGGCGUCACUCAGAGCCUGUCUGGGACUCGAGGACAUGACUCAGACAGUGAGAGUUCACAGAUUCUCCUUUCCCUCUCCUCACUGCUCAUCCUGACUGUCCCCAAAGCCCUGCACAGGCUCCAGGCCCUGAGAGCUCCUAGUCCUGUGGCCAGGCAGCCCAAGGCCCACUCUGCACUGACCCCCACUGCCCCUUUCCCCAGAAGUGCCCAUAACCCACAAACCCCUGCCUCACCCCUAUUCAGCUACAGCACUGCUGCUGCUGGAAUUAUUUCCCUAAACUCUCUCUUCAGCAGAAUUCUCCCUCUGAACCCCCCUCCGGGCCCUCCUCUUCUGUCACAUCCACCUCGAGCUGCGAGUCUUCCCCUCCCCAGCGCCUCACUCCAUAACAACCAUCCACCUCGAGCUGCGAGUCUUCCCCUCCCCAGCGCCUCACUCCAUAACAACCAUCCCUCCUCACUGCCUCCUCCCCACCCUGCCAGAAGCUCCACUUCCCAGACGCUGAAUUACAGCAAACACCUCCCUGAUCCCUCUGUUCGUGCUCCAUGUUGGAAAGCUCCACGUAAAUCCCCUAAAAUAACUUUAUUCUCCCCUUCCAAAGAGCCCCUCAAAGCCCCCCAAGCUCUGCCCACCAGCAACACCCCAGUUAGCCCAGGUGAGGCGGCUGCCCCUCAAUACCCAGAGCUGCCCAAAGCAAGGGCAGGAGGCAGCAAGCACCGAGCCCUGGGCUGCAGCAGCAGCAGCAGAUCCCAGCUGCAGCAGCUGGAGUGAGGCACAGAGCCCCGGGGCUGGAGAGGAUUUCAUCACACAGAUCACACGGCCAGAGCCAGACCUCACACAUGACCCCGGGCAGGAAUUCCCAGUGACUCAGAGCCAGUGGAGAUGCAGCCCCACUGCAGCCACACACCCUGGACAGAUGCAAGCUCCCCUUCCCCUCUGCAUGCCAGAGCUGGGGUGCUCUGCUCUGUCCGGAAAUCUAUUUCCUCAAGAUUUGUGGCAGCUCAGAAGCAGCAGGGUUUGGUUGCAAUUGGACAGCAGGUCUGAACGUCACUGAGCGGGCAUGCAACAGGUCUUAGUCACACAAACCUCCUUCCAGUUGAGAAGCAGCUAAAAUUAUCUUAAUUUUUACCUUUCCUGCUCCAGAAGAUCUCUUGCACUCAGUACAUCACUUCAGGAAACCCACCUGAAUAGGCACCCAGGGAAUCCGUGCUCCCAGGGCUGCCAGAGCUGAGCAGGCAGCAGGAAUGAGAUGCCAGGUGUCUCUUCCAUGAAGGGCAGGAACACAAUGGGCAUGGAUCCCCAACCCCUGCACUGCUGCACGGCGAGACCACGACUGGCAGAAAGUCUUGGAGAAGAAUUUUAAAAAAGAAUCCGAUGCCAAAGCAGGAGGGUGGGAUCACAAGGAGAAAAGGCCUCCUCCUGACAGGGAGGGAUGUGGUAGGAGCACCAUGGCACUGCUGAGGUGCCCAUCCAGUGGCAGAGCUCUGAUCACCCUGGGGCAGCUCUCACAUCCCCUCGCCUCCCAGCAGCCAGGCUUCUGUGCCAGCCCUCAGCCCACAGAUGCCCCUCCAGGCUGUGUGGCCACUGCCUGCUCCCUCCACACCCACGCCAGCUUCAAGGGAGUGCAGCCCCAAGGCUGUACCCCAUGCCCAGGCACCAUAGCCUGCAGCACUCCCCAGGCAGGACCACCCCAUGUCAGCCAGCCCAGCUGGAAACAGUUUGGGACCAGAGCAGACACCAUUCAGAUCUAAAUUGGCCACCCAAAUUAAACAGAAGUCCCAUCACUGGUUCAGAACAGGCAGCGUGGAUGCACCCAGGCCUUCCAUUCCCAUUUGAGCAGACUCCAGAGGAGGUGGGAGCCCAGCAGUGCCCAGCACUGGAAGGUGUCUGUGCAGAAAGCAGACCUGCUCUGUCAGGAGCUCUGGGGAAGCUCCUGAAAGCGAAUGGCAGAUGAAUGAUUGAUUGACAGUGAGCUGCACAAAGCUGGCCCUGCUCGCUCUGCUCCCCCUGGUACUCCCAGCACAGCAGGGAUGCACCAGGGCUCACCCCACAGCCAGGGCAGGCCCUGGGGACAGGUCACUGCUGUCCCCGUCCUGACAGAGGCCCAGGUCAGCAGGACAUCACUGCUUGGAGCAAUGCCAGCGCAGAGCACCCCUAAACUGGAGAAGGCUCUGUGCAACCCAGCUGUGAAACUCCUGAGAAAUGUGCAGUUGAUUCUGGACACGAGUCACGCUGGGACUUCCCACAGCAGUAGUGCUGGGACAGCCGAGAGCCCCCAGGACUGACCACUGGUGCACUGCCCCAAGGACUGACAUUCACUGAGCAGGGAGCACAGGGAGCCCAGCCAAACCCCCAGAGCGUGUCUGUCCCUGAACAGCCCAGCCCAGCCCCUGCAGGCACUGCUGCUGCUGCUGUCACGCUCAGGAGAUGGCACAGGAGCUGUGCCACCAGCUGUCACACAGCCCGGCCCAGAGCAGCACACUCCUGCUGCCCCAGCCCUGGCCAGGCGUGCCCCUGCUCACCAGCCACACAGUGCUCACACCACAGGCAGCUGAGGCUGGCUGAACCAAGCCCAGCAGGUGCCCGGCUCCUGCCAGAAUGGCUCCUGAUCACAGGGAGGGGGGCUGCAGCUGCCGAGUGGGAAGAGCUGCACUGUCCCUGCCCGCAGCAACCACGCUUGGAUUGGAUCAAGGGAGCUGAAACUGCAGCCACAGAGACUCCCCAUUCUCUCCUGACCCCAAUUCCAAAUCCUGCUCUUCCCCCUUGUACCUUCACAUCCCCAGAUCUUCCUCUUUAGCCACAGUACUGAGUUCUUGCUCCCAGAGCACCAGGAGCCUUCACCUCCCCCAGCACAGCACUACAACUGCAUCCUGCUCACUCCCAGCCAUCAGGACCAUCCUCCACCCCUCCUGCUGCAGCUUCACCACCUCUCCCAGCUCCUAUCCACCAGGGCAUAGCAAUGGCCUGUUCUGAUUCCUCCCCAAGACUAGAUUCUCCAUCUGUAAACUCGGCAAGGUGAGAACUGCACCUGGCAAAGAUGCCUCUGGAUGAGUUGGAAUCCAGAUGACUUGGGCCACAACAUAAAAGUAGAUAAAAACAAGGGAUGUAUUUGUUCACGCCUGUUAAAGGCUCCUUCAGCUGUGCUUUGGCUCUUGCCCAUCACUCCUGGGGGUUCAGUGUCUCCUGUCACAUCAGCAUCUGCUCCAGGACUCUUCCCAGGCAGAUCCUUCUGCUUGUGCUGCUCGUGCCAGGCAGGACACGCAGUGCUGGAGGACCCAGGGCUCCCCUUGCCAGCAGGUAGGGCAGCCCAGGAAGCACUUCCAGUGCCCUUAGGAGCCUCUCUGGGAGUCAGCCCUGAGACCAAACACACAGUGCAGGGUCAGAGCAGGAGCUGCCCCGAGAGCAGGAGCUCUCUGCUCUGCAGCCAGGCUGGAUGCUCACCUGGAGAAGAGAAGGCUCCACUGAGACCUCAGAGCUCCUAACAGGGCCUACAGAGGCCCCAGGAGAGCCAGAGAGGGACUUGGGAUAAGGGACCGGAGUGGCAGGACAAGGGGGAACGGCCUCCCGCAGACAGGAAGGCAGGGUUAGGUAUUGGUUAGAUGGGAUAUGGGGAAGACAUUUUUCCUUGUGAGGGUGGUGAAGCCCUGGCACAAGCUGCCCAGAGAAGGAGUGGCUGCCCCGCUCCUGGGAGCGCUCAAGGCCAUAUUGGAUGGAGCUUGGGGCAACCUGGUCUAGUGGAAGAGCAGGGGGUGGAACAAGAUGGUCUGUAACCCAAACCUUUGUCUGGUUCUAUGAUUCACCCAACUUCCCAUUUUGUGCUCUUUCAACUUAACUCCCAGCACAUCUGGAGACCACAGUGCCAGAGGAACCUUGCCCUGAGCACAAGGGUAAUACAGCAGGAGCCCCACAGCUGCCCAGGAUGGCCAGCCCCAGCCUGGAGCAGGGAUGUGCCGAUGGCUUGGGAGCCUGCAGCUCCCCCCACGGCACCCCAGCACCACGGCCUGUGGUUUCCCAGCCCUGGGGAACUCACAAACAGGCACACACAAACAGGGCAGCUUUCUGCAGAGGUCAUGGAAUCAGCAGGAAAAAGCUGCCCAAGCAGAACGCUCUCCUUCCCAAAGGGUGUAAUUUUCUUAGGGCUGAUUCAGCAGAGAGAAGCCAUGGCCAGCCCGGCGUGCAGCCUGGCACUGGGGGCUCCCCAGCCUGGCACAGGGGGCUCUCCAGCCUGGCACUGGGGGCUCCCCAGCCUGGAACUGGGGGCUCUCCAGCCUGGAACUGGGGGCUCUCCAGCCUGGAACUGGGGGCUCUCCAGCCUGGA